rnacentral:rRNA from 1 species
GAUGAACGCUGGCGGCGUGCCUAAUACAUGCAAGUCGAGCGAACAGACGAGGAGCUUGCUCCUCUGACGUUAGCGGCGGACGGGUGAGUAACACGUGGAUAACCUACCUAUAAGACUGGGAUAACUUCGGGAAACCGGAGCUAAUACCGGAUAAUAUAUUGAACCGCAUGGUUCAAUAGUGAAAGACGGUUUUCCUGCACCUUUUAAUUGGUUCCGCGCCGCAUUAGCUAGUUGGUAAGGUAACGGCUUACCAAGGCAACGAUGCGUAGCCGACCUGAGAGGGUGAUCGGCCACACUGGAACUGAGACACGGUCCAGACUCCUACGGGAGGCAGCAGUAGGGAAUCUUCCGCAAUGGGCGAAAGCCUGACGGAGCAACGCCGCGUGAGUGAUGAAGGUCUUCGGAUCGUAAAACUCUGUUAUUAGGGAAGAACAAAUGUGUAAGUAACUAUGCACGUCUUGACGGUACCUAAUCAGAAAGCCACGGCUAACUACGUG